CCUACGGGUGGCAGCAGUGGGGAAUAUUGCACAAUGGGCGAAAGCCAGAUGCAGCAACGCCGCGUGAGCGAUGAAGGUCUUCGGCUCGUAAGGCUCUGUCCUAAGGGAAGAAUACUGACGGUACCUUAGGAGGAAGCCCCGGCUGACUACGUGCCGGCAGCCACGGUAAUAGUUAGGGGGGUAGUGUUAUCCGGAAUUACUGGGCGUAAAGGGUGCGUUGGCAGGCCUUCAAGUCAGAGGUGAAAGGCUACGGCUCAACUGUAGGAAGUCUUUAAAACUGUAAGGGUUGAGGGGAGGAGAGGGUGGUGAAAUGGCCGGUGUAGCGGUUAAAUGAGUAGAUAUUGGGAGGUACACCUGUUGCGAUGGCGGCACUCUCGAAUGUAACUGACGCUGAGGCAGGCAAUAGUGGGGAGCGAACUGGUGUAGACAUCCUUGUAGUC
rnacentral:rRNA from 1 species